rnacentral:rRNA from 1 species
UACGUAGGAUGCAAGCGUUGUCCGGAAUUAUUGGGCGUAAAGAGCGCGCAGGCGGUCACUCAAGUCAGAUGUGAAAUAUCCGGGCUUAACCCGGAGGGGUCAUUUGAAACUGAGUAACUAGAGUACAGCAGAGGAUAGCGGAAUUCCCGGUGUAGUGGUGAAAUGCGUAGAUAUCGGGAGGAACACCAGUGGCGAAGGCGGCUAUCUGGGCUGAAACUGACGCUGAGGCGCGAAGGCUAGGGGAGCAAACGGG